rnacentral:rRNA from 1 species
UACGUAGGGGGCAAGCGUUGUCCGGAAUCAUUGGGCGUAAAGCGCGUGUAGGCGGCUCGGUAAGUCCGCUCUGAAAGUCCAGGGCUCAACCCUGGGAUGCGGGUGGAUACUGCCGGGCUCGAGUCCGGAAGAGGCGAGUGGAAUUUCCGGUGUAGCGGUGAAAUGCGUAGAUAUCGGAAGGAACAUCAGUGGCGAAAGCGACUUCCUGGACCAAUACUGACGCUCAUGUGCGAAAGCGUGGGGAGCAAACAGG